rnacentral:rRNA from 1 species
UCAGCCCUAAACACAAAUAAUUUUAAAAACAAAAUUAUUCGCCAGAGUACUACCGGCAACAGCCUAAAACUCAAAGGACUUGGCGGUGCUUUAUACCCUUCUAGAGGAGCCUGUUCUAUAAUCGAUAAACCCCGAUAGACCUCACCAAUUCUUGCUAAUACAGUCUAUAUACCGCCAUCUUCAGCAAACCCUAAAAAGGAACAAAAGUAAGCGCAAUCAUAACACAUAAAAACGUUAGGUCAAGGUGUAACCUAUGAAAUGGGAAGAAAUGGGCUACAUUUUCUACUUCAAGAAAACCCACAUACGAAAGUUAUUAUGAAACUAAUAACCAAAGGAGGAUUUAGUAGUAAACUAAGAAUAGA